UGGGGAAUAUUGGGCAAUGGGCGCAAGCCUGACCCAGCCACGCCGCGUGAGUGAUGAAGGCCUUCGGGUCGUAAAGCUCUGUGGGGAGGGACGAAAAAACGCUGGCUAACAUCCAGCGGACUGACGGUACCUCCUUAGCAAGCACCGGCUAACUCCGUGCCAGCAGCCGCGGUAAUACGGAGGGUGCAAACGUUGCUCGGAAUUAUUGGGCGUAAAGCGCACGUAGGCGGUCCAGCAAGUCGGGUGUGAAAGCCCUCGGCUUAACCGAGGAAGUGCAUUCGAAACUACUGGACUUGAAUACUGGAGAGGAUCGCGGAAUUCCCGGUGUAGAGGUGAAAUUCGUAGAUAUCGGGAGGAACACCAGUGGCGAAGGCGGCGAUCUGGACAGAUAUUGACGCUGAGGUGCGAAAGCGUGGGGAGCAAACAGG
rnacentral:rRNA from 1 species